AGUCUAGCAGCAGAGUCCAGAAGCCCCGUGUAUUUGAUUGUUUUGGGUGAAAUAUUGAUGUAACUGCUGUUAUGUGUUGGUGAGUGUUAUUGGUUCUCUUCUCAUGAUCAGAAAGGUUGUUUAUGGUCAUAGAUACUUGGUACUAACGCUCGGGCGGCAAAAUCUGUACAAGAUACCAUUUUCGAGACAAUGCCAUGAAAGCCAACAACUUUUUUCCUUUCCCAUGAUAUUGUAUUGUAGGUGUUCGCUAAAAUAUCUCAGCAGAUUUCUGAUCUAUUAUGUUCCUUCAAGGCAGAAGUACUAGGCCUUGAUCCUAGAGAAGUUGAUGUUCCACUUAUUGGGGGUCAAACAGGAGUGACGAUAUUACCUCUUUUAUCUCAGGUUAAACCACCUUGUACUUUCACUCCUCAAGAUUACCUGACAUCACGCAUCCAAAAUGGCAGCACAGAAGUUAUCGAGAGGACAAGGAAUUCGAUUUACGAAUGCCACCUUGGCAACCUAUCCACUACCGCUACACAAGA